AUUACCUCUAGAGGUGUUACAAGUAUGGCUGCCAUGUCACAUGCGCCUUGGUAGGUGGCAGAGAGGAGACAGACUGUCUAUGUUCAGUGUUCUGACUUAUGAACAUCUGAAUGAUUAUUAACUUAACAUU